UACGUAGGGUGCGAGCGUUGUCCGGAAUUACUGGGCGUAAAGAGCUCGUAGGUGGUUUGUCGCGUUGUUCGUGAAAACUCACAGCUCAACUGUGGGCGUGCGGGCGAUACGGGCAGACUGGAGUACUGCAGGGGAGACUGGAAUUCCUGGUGUAGCGGUGGAAUGCGCAGAUAUCCGGAAGAACACCGGUGGCGAAGGCGGUUGGCUGGGCCAUAGCUGACACUGAGGCGCGACAGCGUGGGGAGCAAACAGG
rnacentral:rRNA from 1 species